rnacentral:rRNA from 1 species
CCUACGGGACGCAGCAGUGGGGAAUAUUGCACAAUGGGCGCAAGCCUGAUGCAGCCAUGCCGCGUGUACGAAGAAGGCCUUCGGGUUGUAAAGUACUUUCAGCGGGGAGGAAGGUGUUAUGGUUAAUAACCUCAGCAAUUGACGUUACCCGCAGAAGAAGCACCGGCUAACUCCGUGCCAGCAUCCGCGGUAAUACGGAGGGUGCAAGCGUUAAUCGGAAUUACUGGGCGUAAAGCGCACGCAGGCGGUCUGUCAAGUCGGAUGUGAAAUCCCCGGGCUCAACCUGGGAACUGCAUUCGAAACUGGCAGGCUAGAGUCUUGUAGAGGGGGGUAGAAUUCCAGGUGUAGCGGUGAAAUGCGUAGAGAUCUGGAGGAAUACCGGUGGCGAAGGCGGCCCCCUGGACAAAGACUGACGCUCAGGUGCGAAAGCGUGGGGAGCAAACAGGAUUAGAUACCCGGGUAGUC